UCGGGAAUUUUGGGCAAUGGGCGAAAGCCUGACCCAGCAACGCCGCGUGAAGGAUGAAGUAUUUCGGUAUGUAAACUUCGAAAGAAUAGGAAGAAUAAAUGACGGUACUAUUUAUAAGGUCCGGCUAACUACGUGCCAGCAGCCGCGGUAAUACGUAGGGACCAAGCGUUGUUCGGAUUUACUGGGCGUAAAGGGCGCGUAGGCGGCAAUUCGAGUCAUCUGUGAAAUCUCCGGGCUUAACUCGGAACGGUCAGAUGAUACUGCUUUGCUAGAGUGCAGAAGGGGCAAUCGGAAUUCUUGGUGUAGCGGUGAAAUGCGUAGAUAUCAAGAGGAACACCUGAGGUGAAGACGGGUUGCUGGGCUGACACUGACGCUGAGGCGCGAAAGCCAGGGGAGCAAACGGGAUUAGAUACCCCCGUAGUCCCUGAGCGGGCUGGCAAGGCGCAU
rnacentral:rRNA from 1 species